GAUGAACGCUGGCGGCGUGCCUAAUACAUGCAAGUCGAGCGAACAGACGAGGAGCUUGCUCCUCUGACGUUAGCGGCGGACGGGUGAGUAACACGUGGAUAACCUACCUAUAAGACUGGGAUAACUUCGGGAAACCGGAGCUAAUACCGGAUAAUAUAUUGAACCGCAUGGUUCAAUAGUGAAAGACGGUCUUGCUGUCACUUAUAGAUGGAUCCGCGCCGCAUUAGCUAGUUGGUAAGGUAACGGCUUACCAAGGCAACGAUGCGUAGCCGACCUGAGAGGGUGAUCGGCCACACUGGAACUGAGACACGGUCCAGACUCCUACGGGAGGCAGCAGUAGGGAAUCUUCCGCAAAGGGCGAAAGCCUGACGGAGCAACGCCGCGUGAGUGAUGAAGGUCUUCGGAUCGUAAAACUCUGUUAUUAGGGAAGAACAAAUGUGUAAGUAACUAUGCACAUCUUGACGGUACCUAAUCAGAAAGCCACGGCUAACUACGUG
rnacentral:rRNA from 1 species